GGCUGUGUGCUCUCUCCGCUCCCUCUGCAACUGUCAGACUGGGCCUGGGACUGAGGGGUGCUGGGUUCUGCUUGUUUACACCACGUCGACGAGGUGGGUACUCUGUCUCCCAAAGGCUGCCCCACGGCAAAACCAAGAUUUGCUCAACUCGCCAUGUCUCAAUUCCUCUGACCGCAGCCUUCCAGAGAGGGAGCUUUGCCCAGGGAAUUGAGAUGAAGAAACACUCCAGAGAGGGGACGUGCCUCGCCCAGGGUCCUGCAGAGAUCACGUAGACACCUACAGCAGAGGGGACUUGGGCACCACAGGGGACCGUGCAUUGGAUCCUGGCCGAAAGCCAGAAGCCCCUCGAGGACAAGGACCUCCUUGUACCCCACUCCUCCCCGUGGUGCCGACCACAGGGUGCAGCACAUAGUAGGCGCUCAAAAAGUCCUCCACGAUGAGUAAAUCUUUCAUCCUUCAGUAGCUGCAAUCACCUGCCGUUUAUUCAUGUCUUCAUUCAUUUCUCUAGCAACUAGUGAGCACUGACUGUGUGCGUGGCACCCUGCUGGAUGCGGGAACACACAGUUGA